rnacentral:rRNA from 1 species
GAUGAACGCUGGCGGCGUGCCUAAUACAUGCAAGUCGAGCGAACGGACGAGAAGCUUGCUUCUCUGAUGUUAGCGGCGGACGGGUGAGUAACACGUGGAUAACCUACCUAUAAGACUGGGAUAACUUCGGGAAACCGGAGCUAAUACCGGAUAAUAUUUUGAACCGCAUGGUUCAAAAGUGAAAGACGGUCUUGCUGUCACUUAUAGAUGGAUCCGCGCUGCAUUAGCUAGUUGGUAAGGUAACGGCUUACCAAGGCAACGAUGCAUAGCCGACCUGAGAGGGUGAUCGGCCACACUGGAACUGAGACACGGUCCAGACUCCUACGGGAGGCAGCAGUAGGGAAUCUUCCGCAAUGGGCGAAAGCCUGACGGAGCAACGCCGCGUGAGGGAUGAAGGUCUUCGGAUCGUAAAACUCUGUUAUUAGGGAAGAACAUAUGUGUAAGUAACUGUGCACAUCUUGACGGUACCUAAUCAGAAAGCCACGGCUAACUACGUG